AAGACUAUAGACCUGCGGAGUACCUGCGGAAGGAUCAUUAGAGAUUUUGUGCCCUGCGCACUAAAAUUUUCAUCGAUUCUCACACCUGUGCACAACGGCACGCACGCGGCUGCCAGGCCGCGCUGCGCGCACAUCCACAAAAACAUCAUCCUGUUUUGUCGAACGUGAUUGAUUUAUAAAAACACAACUUUCAACAACGGAUCUCU
rnacentral:misc_RNA from 1 species